UCUCCGUUGGUGAACCAGCGGAGGGAUCAUUAUAGAGUACCUGUACUCCCUAAACCACUGUGAACCUUACCACUGUUGCUUCGGCGUGAAGCCGCGCCGCCGGCCCCCCUCCUGCGGGAGGGGGUCCCGGGGGCGCGGUGGACCGCCGGGGACCCCCUAUUCUUGUAUUUGCAGAGGAUCUUCUGAGCAGCGCAAGCAAAUAUUAAAACUUUCAGCAACGGAUCUCUUGGCUCUG
rnacentral:misc_RNA from 1 species